rnacentral:rRNA from 1 species
GAUGAACGCUGGCAGCGUGCCUAAUACAUGCAAGUCGAGCGAACAGACGAGAGUGCUUGCACUCUCUGACGUUAGCGGCGGACGGGUGAGUAACGCGUGGGUAACCUACCUAUAAGACUGGGAUAACUUCGGGAAACCGGAGCUAAUACCGGAUAAUAUUUAGCUUCGCAUGAAGCAAUAGUGAAAGACGGUUCUGCUGUCACUUAUAGAUGGACCCGCGGUGUAUUAGCUAGUUGGUGAGGUAACGGCUCACCAAGGCAACGAUACAUAGCCGACCUGAGAGGGUGAUCGGCCACACUGGGACUGAGACACGGCCCAGACUCCUACGGGAGGCAGCAGUAGGGAAUCUUCCGCAAUGGACGAAAGUCUGACGGAGCAAUGCCGCGUGAGUGAAGAAGGUUUUCGGAUCGUAAAACUCUGUUGUAAGGGAAGAACAAGUACGUUAGUAACUGAACGUACCUUGACGGUACCUUACCAGAAAGCCACGGCUAACUACGUG